CAGGAAGUGACAAAAAGGAAUGGUCUUUAUAACUGCCAAGAACUUCCUGUGAAGAGGUCUUUCGCCUUCAACUUGAUCUUGAAGGAGCUCCAGCUUGAGACCUCAGGCUGCUCUUGGACUUUUCCCUUAGAACUACCACAUGGGAUUGGGGCCCACUCUGCUGGGGUGUCAUCUUAUCCUCUAAGAGCCCAGGGUCUGACCCCUGGGAAUAGAACCUGUGGGACAGGAGAAGGCUUCAACCAGGAAAGAAAACACAGUUAGAUUCAACCCAGAGGAACAGGUACAGUUGUACAGCCAAUGAUGGUGGGGACCAAAAAAAGCCUAUGGUAGCUGCCUUUAAAUUCUACCUGUUUAGAGAGAAGACAGUUGAGAGAGAGAACCCACCAAAAAAUAUAAUCAUCGUUGAUCAAAUGCCUACCAACCAUCAAGCUUCCCAGCUGGGACAACAGAAGGCAUGGAGCCACACUUCAGUUUGCCUAAUCUUGGAGGAAGACUUUGUCAUUGGCUUUGGUCGUGAGAUGUACUGGCCUUUUCCAUGUCCUAAUUCAAGGACACACACACACACACACACACACACACACACACACACACACACACACACGCUUUGCUCUGGGCUCUGUAUGCUACAAAUUAGAGAGUGUGAUCCUGGGUUCAUGUCAGCACAGAAUCUGCCAAAUGCCAAUUUCUUUGCCAGUGCAAGCUGUCCCCAGCCUGGGCCAAUUUGAGCAUCUUUUCCCCAUCUACUUUCCUUAAGGAUAGUCAGGGCCAUGUGAAAAAUAGGGUCUGUAGUCUCCUUUGGGGACAAAAUUGAGGAGCCUUCACAACUGGCUGGCCCGGGCCCUGCAAAUGACAUAAGAAUAAUUGAAACAGACCCUUUAAUGAGUAACACUGCCCCUAGAACACUGGCUUUUUUUCUCAGAGCUGGCUGUCAGUGAUCUUUCCCCUCCUUUUUUUUUGCUUAUAUUUAUUUGCAAAACUUUGUGUUGGGGGAUUUCUGAGAGCCCCAUCCCCACCACUCCAGAAAAAACUAUGAGCCCAGGGACUUUAUACCUCAAGCUAGCAGAGUGCUCUGAGCAAAUCUAUCCUGUUUCCAA
rnacentral:lncRNA from 1 species